rnacentral:lncRNA from 11 species
AGCAUUUGACCAUCAUUUGGGAUCUUAUAUCCUUGUACAGAGAAAACCCUUUUCAAUUGCUCAAACACAUCCUGAUCCUGAUAAGUCUCAUAGUGCUGAUAAGUUUUCUCCACAAACAAUACAGGAAAUGUUGUGUUCCAUGUUUAUUCCGUGACGGUCUCAGACCUCUCUAGAUGUGCCGGAAUAGAAAAUUACCUUCUGAAACUUGCAAAAAUUUUAAAAGCAAAUAAAUAAAAACAAUAACAAACAAACACUUUUGUAAUAUUA